rnacentral:rRNA from 1 species
GACAGAGGGUGCAAACGUUGUUCGGAAUUACUGGGCGUAAAGCGCGUGUAGGCGGUCUCGCAAGUCGGAUGUGAAAGCCCAGGGCUCAACCCUGGAAGUGCACUCGAUACUGCGAGGCUAGAGUCCCGGAGAGGAUGGUGGAACUCUCGGUGUAGAGGUGAAAUUCGUAGAUAUCGAGAAGAACACCGGUGGCGAAGGCGGCCAUCUGGACGGUGACUGACGCUGAGACGCGAAAGCGUGGGGAGCAAACAGGAU